rnacentral:rRNA from 1 species
CCCUUAGAUGUUCUGGGCCGCACGCGUGCUACACUGAGUGGAUCAGCGGGUCAGGUUGCGCGAAAGCGUUUCCUAAUCUUUAAAUCCGCUCGUGAUGGGGAUUGACGGUUGCAAUUUUCUGUCAUGAACGAGGAAUACCUUGUAAGCGCGGGUCAUCAUCCCGCGCUGAAUACGUCCCUGCCCUUUGUACACACCGCCCGUCGCUCCUACCGAUUGGAUGGUCCGGUGAAGCCUCGGGAUUGUGGUUCUUGCCGCUUUAUUGUGGCGUGACCGCGAGAACUUGUCUAAACCUUAUCAUCUAGAGGAAGGUGAAGUCGUAACA